UAUCUUUAUUCUUUAUAUGUUACAUGCAUUCCCCUGCAGUAGUGAAAAGUAAAUUGUUUGUUUUAUUUCAGUGUCGACAGCUCAAACUAUGGUGGUAUCUUAUCGCUACAAUGCUGCUAACUAGACUCUUGGAUGAAGUUAAGUUGUUUUAGUCAGAUGAUCUACUUUUUGGCGUUUCCUACUGCCCUAGUUAUAGUAGUUCAAGGUUUAACUGUAAAUAUAGUGUUAAGUAGGUUUCAAUACUUCCCUGCCACCUUUUCAGACAUUGCAGAGAUGUGUGACCGCACAAUUCUCAAACCGAAGAAUCAAAAGGAGUUAUUGAUUUAUCGGUAUAUAAAGUAUGUAUGCUUUAUCAAACAAAGCCACUAGGUAUUCGUGACACAGUUUACGUGUGAUGACGUGGGCAUCUCUCAACACACUUUGCAGCAUGAGCGACGGUGCCGUGGCGGGAUAUCUGGAAAUGUAGCCUUGAGCUCAGUUUAUUUUUCUCCGUCACCUCACCCGGGGAGGGGGGGGGGGGAGCCAAUGACUUUGGGUACUUUGGGGACAAGUGCAGAAUUUCGCCAGCAAUUUAACCUCAAGUCUCCAAGAUUUUUAGCCCCCAUUGGUACCCAAAAGUCUCCUUUAGAAGUCAUUUAAUAAAA